CUUGCUUCUCUUGAGAGCGGCGGACGGGUGAGUAAUGCCUAGGAAUCUGCCUGGUAGUGGGGGAUAACGUCCGGAAACGGACGCUAAUACCGCAUACGUCCUACGGGAGAAAGCAGGGGACCUUCGGGCCUUGCGCUAUCAGAUGAGCCUAGGUCGGAUUAGCUAGUUGGUGGGGUAAUGGCUCACCAAGGCGACGAUCCGUAACUGGUCUGAGAGGAUGAUCAGUCACACUGGAACUGAGACACGGUCCAGACUCCUACGGGAGGCAGCAGUGGGGAAUAUUGGACAAUGGGCGAAAGCCUGAUCCAGCCAUGCCGCGUGUGUGAAGAAGGUCUUCGGAUUGUAAAGCACUUUAAGUUGGGAGGAAGGGCAGUAAAUUAAUACUUUGCUGUUUUGACGUUACCGACAGAAUAAGCACCGGCUAACUCUGUGCCAGCAGCCGCGGUAAUACAGAGGGUGCAAGCGUUAAUCGGAAUUACUGGGCGUAAAGCGCGCGUAGGUGGUUCGUUAAGUUGGAUGUGAAAUCCCCGGGCUCAACCUGGGAACUGCAUUCAAAACUGACGAGCUAGAGUAUGGUAGAGGGUGGUGGAAUUUCCUGUGUAGCGGUGAAAUGCGUAGAUAUAGGAAGGAACACCAGUGGCGAAGGCGACCACCUGGACUGAUACUGACACUGAGGUGCGAAAGCGU
rnacentral:rRNA from 1 species